UUAAGCGACUAAGCGUACACGGUGGAUGCCCUGGCAGUCAGAGGCGAUGAAGGACGUGCUAAUCUGCGAUAAGCGUCGGUAAGGUGAUAUGAACCGUUAUAACCGGCGAUUUCCGAAUGGGGAAACCCAGUGUGAUUCGUCACACUAUCAUUAACUGAAUCCAUAGGUUAAUGAGGCGAACCGGGGGAACUGAAACAUCUAAGUACCCCGAGGAAAAGAAAUCAACCGAGAUUCCCCCAGUAGCGGCGAGCGAACGGGGAGGAGCCCAGAGCCUGAAUCAGUGUGUGUGUUAGUGGAAGCGUCUGGAAAGGCGCGCGAUACAGGGUGACAGCCCCGUACACAAAAAUGCACAUGCUGUGAGCUCGAUGAGUAGGGCGGGACACGUGGUAUCCUGUCUGAAUAUGGGGGGACCAUCCUCCAAGGCUAAAUACUCCUGACUGACCGAUAGUGAACCAGUACCGUGAGGGAAAGGCGAAAAGAACCCCGGCGAGGGGAGUGAAAAAGAACCUGAAACCGUGUACGUACAAGCAGUGGGAGCACGCUUAGGCGUGUGACUGCGUACCUUUUGUAUAAUGGGUCAGCGACUUAUAUUCUGUAGCAAGGUUAACCGAAUAGGGGAGCCGAAGGGAAACCGAGUCUUAACUGGGCGUUAAGUUGCAGGGUAUAGACCCGAAACCCGGUGAUCUAGCCAUGGGCAGGUUGAAGGUUGGGUAACACUAACUGGAGGACCGAACCGACUAAUGUUGAAAAAUUAGCGGAUGACUUGUGGCUGGGGGUGAAAGGCCAAUCAAACCGGGAGAUAGCUGGUUCUCCCCGAAAGCUAUUUAGGUAGCGCCUCGUGAAUUCAUCUCCGGGGGUAGAGCACUGUUUCGGCAAGGGGGUCAUCCCGACUUACCAACCCGAUGCAAACUGCGAAUACCGGAGAAUGUUAUCACGGGAGACACACGGCGGGUGCUAACGUCCGUCGUGAAGAGGGAAACAACCCAGACCGCCAGCUAAGGUCCCAAAGUCAUGGUUAAGUGGGAAACGAUGUGGGAAGGCCCAGACAGCCAGGAUGUUGGCUUAGAAGCAGCCAUCAUUUAAAGAAAGCGUAAUAGCUCACUGGUCGAGUCGGCCUGCGCGGAAGAUGUAACGGGGCUAAACCAUGCACCGAAGCUGCGGCAGCGACGCUUAUGCGUUGUUGGGUAGGGGAGCGUUCUGUAAGCCUGUGAAGGUGUGCUGUGAGGCAUGCUGGAGGUAUCAGAAGUGCGAAUGCUGACAUAAGUAACGAUAAAGCGGGUGAAAAGCCCGCUCGCCGGAAGACCAAGGGUUCCUGUCCAACGUUAAUCGGGGCAGGGUGAGUCGACCCCUAAGGCGAGGCCGAAAGGCGUAGUCGAUGGGAAACAGGUUAAUAUUCCUGUACUUGGUGUUACUGCGAAGGGGGGACGGAGAAGGCUAUGUUGGCCGGGCGACGGUUGUCCCGGUUUAAGCGUGUAGGCUGGUUUUCCAGGUAAAUCCGGAAAAUCAAGGCUGAGGCGUGAUGACGAGGCACUACGGUGCUGAAGCAACAAAUGCCCUGCUUCCAGGAAAAGCCUCUAAGCAUCAGGUAACAUCAAAUCGUACCCCAAACCGACACAGGUGGUCAGGUAGAGAAUACCAAGGCGCUUGAGAGAACUCGGGUGAAGGAACUAGGCAAAAUGGUGCCGUAACUUCGGGAGAAGGCACGCUGAUAUGUAGGUGAAGUCCCUCGCGGAUGGAGCUGAAAUCAGUCGAAGAUACCAGCUGGCUGCAACUGUUUAUUAAAAACACAGCACUGUGCAAACACGAAAGUGGACGUAUACGGUGUGACGCCUGCCCGGUGCCGGAAGGUUAAUUGAUGGGGUCAGCGCAAGCGAAGCUCUUGAUCGAAGCCCCGGUAAACGGCGGCCGUAACUAUAACGGUCCUAAGGUAGCGAAAUUCCUUGUCGGGUAAGUUCCGACCUGCACGAAUGGCGUAAUGAUGGCCAGGCUGUCUCCACCCGAGACUCAGUGAAAUUGAACUCGCUGUGAAGAUGCAGUGUACCCGCGGCAAGACGGAAAGACCCCGUGAACCUUUACUAUAGCUUGACACUGAACAUUGAGCCUUGAUGUGUAGGAUAGGUGGGAGGCUUAGAAGUGUGGACGCCAGUCUGCAUGGAGCCGACCUUGAAAUACCACCCUUUAAUGUUUGAUGUUCUAACGUUGACCCGUAAUCCGGGUUGCGGACAGUGUCUGGUGGGUAGUUUGACUGGGGCGGUCUCCUCCUAAAGAGUAACGGAGGAGCACGAAGGUUGGCUAAUCCUGGUCGGACAUCAGGAGGUUAGUGCAAUGGCAUAAGCCAGCUUGACUGCGAGCGUGACGGCGCGAGCAGGUGCGAAAGCAGGUCAUAGUGAUCCGGUGGUUCUGAAUGGAAGGGCCAUCGCUCAACGGAUAAAAGGUACUCCGGGGAUAACAGGCUGAUACCGCCCAAGAGUUCAUAUCGACGGCGGUGUUUGGCACCUCGAUGUCGGCUCAUCACAUCCUGGGGCUGAAGUAGGUCCCAAGGGUAUGGCUGUUCGCCAUUUAAAGUGGUACGCGAGCUGGGUUUAGAACGUCGUGAGACAGUUCGGUCCCUAUCUGCCGUGGGCGCUGGAGAACUGAGGGGGGCUGCUCCUAGUACGAGAGGACCGGAGUGGACGCAUCACUGGUGUUCGGGUUGUCAUGCCAAUGGCACUGCCCGGUAGCUAAAUGCGGAAGAGAUAAGUGCUGAAAGCAUCUAAGCACGAAACUUGCCCCGAGAUGAGUUCUCCCUGACUCCUUGAGAGUCCUGAAGGAACGUUGAAGACGACGACGUUGAUAGGCCGGGUGUGUAAGCGCAGCGAUGCGUUGAGCUAACCGGUACUAAUGAACCGUGAGGCUUAACCUU
rnacentral:rRNA from 1 species